GACCAUCGAGACCAGGGACCAUCAUGGACCAUCGUGACCAGGGACCAUCGAGACCAGGGACCAUCGAGACCAGGGACCAUCAUGGACCAUCGGACCAUCGAGACCAGGGACCAUCAUGGACCAUCGUGACCAGGGACCAUCGUGACCAGGGACCAUCAUGGACCAUUGUGACCAGGGACCAUCGUGACCAUGUGAGCAUCAGGUGACUCCAUCAUAUUAAGCAUAAAAAUAUAUAUUUUUAAUAAAA